CGUCGCCCCGCCUACACCCGCCCAUCGUGUCGGGUGCAUUGGAAAGGUGCGUAUUCUGGCCUCCCGUGUCGCUCUUGCGCGCGGCUUGCCCAAACGUCGUCCCCUUAGGGCGUCCGAGCGACGCACGCAAUGCUGGUCAAACGAUCGCUCCAUUCGCGUGCUCGUCGGCGUUCUGUUGGAAGGGGAGUCAAAAUGACCCUUUGGAUGAUAGUUUCGAGCUGUCUCCGACC
rnacentral:misc_RNA from 1 species